CGUUCUAUGGCCGAAUUGGUAAAGGCAUCGCCGAUCACAGGCGACGUAGCGGGUUCGAGUCCCGCUGGAACGA
rnacentral:tRNA from 1 species